GACCAGUCAGGUCCUGACGUCUCCAAGGAAGCAGCGAAGAUCAGGAUUCUCCCUGCGUGCGCUGUGCUGCUGGUGCCGCUGAGCAGAGAGGGACCUUGAUCCUGGUCAAAAUGAGGACAGAGGUGCUGCCUGUGGAGAGAUCCAGAUCCCAGGCCUGGGGAAGCUGCUGGCACAUCCAUUCAAGUCACUCAAGAGAGAAGAGACCACUUGAUGGCUCUGGAUGCUCUCUGUGCCCACUUCAAGUUCAUCUGUCAGCAGAAAGAACUUGAACUACUGCGGGCCAGAGAGAAGGAUCCUGGGCGCUCAGACCCGCCUGCCUAAAAUCCUGCGAGAGGACUCGGUGUGCCUGGAUCCAAGCCCAGCCACAGACCUGUCCAAACUGUAUAUAGUUCUAGAAAGUUAAUUACCUUCUAGAUAUAAUUUA